rnacentral:rRNA from 1 species
UACGUAGGGGGCAAGCGUUGUCCGGAUUCAUUGGGCGUAAAGAGCGUGUAGGCGGCCAGGUAGGUCGGUUGUGAAAACUGGAGGCUCAACCUUCAGAGGUCGACCGAAACCAUCUGGCUAGAGUCCGGAAGAGGAGAGUGGAAUUCCUGGUGUAGCGGUGAAAUGCGCAGAUAUCAGAAAGAACACCCGUGGCGAAGGCGGCUCUCUGGGACGGUACUGACGCUGAGACGCGAAAGCGUGGGGAGCGAACAGG